CAUAAUGUCUGGAAUGAUUUAUGGCUAAAAUCUAUAUGGCCUCUGGAUUGGACUGCGGCCGAUCAGGCUGUUGGUGAGGUAAUGGCCCACCAAACCUAAAACCGGUACGGGCUCUGAGAGGAGAAGCCCGGAGAUGGGCACUGAGACAAGGGCCCAGGCCCUAUGGGGCGCAGCAGGCGCGAAAACUCUGCAAUAGGCGAAAGCUUGACAGGGUUAUUCUGAGUGAUUUCCGCUAAGGAAGUCUUUUGGCACCUCUAAAAAUGGUGCAGAAUAAGGGGUGGGCAAGCCUGGUGUCAGCCGCCGCGGUAAUACCAGCACCCCGAGUGGUCGGGACGAUUAUUGGGCCUAAAGCAUCCGUAGCCGGUUCUACAAGUCUUCCGUUAAAUCCAUCUGCUUAACAGAUGGGCUGCGGAGGAUACUAUAGAGCUAGGAGGCGGGAGAGGCAAGCGGUACUUAGUGGGUAGGGGUAAAAUCCGUUGAUCCACUGAAGACCACCAGUGGCGAAGGCGGCUUGCCAGAACGCGCUCGACGGUGAGGGAUGAAAGCUGGGGGAGCAAACCGGAUUAGAUACCCGGGUAGUCCCAGCUGUAAACGAUGCAGACUCGGUGAUGAAUAGGCUUCGUGCCUUUUCAGUGCCGCAGGGAAGCCGUUAAGUCUGCCGCCUGGGGAGUACGGUCGCAAGACUGAAACUUAA
rnacentral:rRNA from 1 species